rnacentral:rRNA from 1 species
UACGGGGGGGGUAAGCGUUGUUCGGAAUUACUGGGCGUAAAGGGCUCGUAGGCGGCCAACUAAGUCGGACGUGAAAUCCCUCAGCUUAACUGGGGAACUGCGUCCGAUACUGGAUGGCUUGGAUUUGGGAGAGGGAUGCGGAAUUCCAGGUGUAGCGGUGAAAUGCGUAGAUAUCUGGAGGAACACCGGUGGCGAAGGCGGCAUCCUGGACCAAUAUUGACACUGAGGAGCGAAAGCCAGGGGAGCAAACGGG